rnacentral:ncRNA from 1 species
GGAAAAUCAAUGAAGGGAUGAGUAAUUCAUCACCACUUUCACAGAGAGCUGGGAAGGCUGAGAACCAGUAUGUUGGGAUGAAUGAAGAUGGUCCUGGAGAAAUGAUACUAUGUCGAAUGACACUUAAAAGAGCCUAUGCUAAUGCAUAGGAAUUUGGGUGGUACCGCGUGAGUAUAAACUCCCGUCCCAAGC